rnacentral:lncRNA from 1 species
CCCAGCUUUUUGUUGAUUUUUUGAGGUUUCUCGAAUCUACACAGCCCAUCACUGUUCCUUCUACAUCUGCUAUAAGGGUUACAUCUUCAGCACCUACUAUAACUAGUAAGUUUAUAAACUAUUAUUUGCAAAU